CCUACGGGGGGCAGCAGUGAGGAAUAUUGGUCAAUGGACGAGAGUCUGAACCAGCCAAGUAGCGUGAAGGAUGACUGCCCUAUGGGUUGUAAACUUCUUUUAUAUGGGAAUAAAAUGUUCCACGUGUGGGAUUUUGUAUGUACCAUAUGAAUAAGGAUCGGCUAACUCCGUGCCAGCAGCCGCGGUAAUACGGAGGAUCCGAGCGUUAUCCGGAUUUAUUGGGUUUAAAGGGAGCGUAGGUGGAUUGUUAAGUCAGUUGUGAAAGUUUGUGGCUCAACCGUAAAAUUGCAGUUGAAACUGGCAGUCUUGAGUACAGUAGAGGUAGGCGGAAUUCGUGGUGUAGCGGUGAAAUGCUUAGAUAUCACGAAGAACUCCGAUUGCGAAGGCAGUUCACUGGACUGCAACUGACACUGAGGCUCGAAAGUGUGGGUAUCAAACAGGAUUAGAUACCCUUGUAGUC
rnacentral:rRNA from 1 species